AAGUCGUAACAAGGUUUCCGUAGGUGAACCUGCGGAAGGAUCAUUACAGAGAACUUGCCCUUCGGGGUAUUCUCCCACCCUUUGUUUACAAUACCUUUGUUGCUUUGGCGGGCCCGUCUCACGACCACCGGCUUCGGCUGGUCAGUGCCCGCCAGAGGACCCCAAACUCUUUUGUUAAUGUCGUCUGAGUACAAUAUAAUAGUUAAAACUUUCAACAACGGAUCUCUUGGUUCUG
rnacentral:misc_RNA from 1 species